AUAAAACAAUUUAUGUAAGUUUCAAUAGUGAGCGUUUGGACAAAACGACGAAAGAUAAUAGCUGAUGUUGAAUAUUGCCUAAAAGAUCUUACCAUUAAAUCAAGCAAUAUUUCACAUUCAACAGAAGAAGUACAAUCAUUGUAUUUAAAAAGUAUAUCAGAUCGAAAACUUUCAACUGAGAGUGCUAUUCCCUAAGAUAAUAGCUGUGGCAAGUAAAAGAGGCCAGACUUUAAAGGAGGCUGUCCAGAGAAUGUCCUUUGCGUUAUUCACUAAUAACCUCUGCUGUAAACUUAACUGGUCUGGUAUUACCAUAAAUGACAAUGAAAGUAACUUUGUAAAACAAAGACUUACACUUGCUUAAAAGAGCUGUAAAAAGAAAUGCUGCAACAACUUCAGCAACUGAAUCAGAUUUUCAAUAUGAGGUUGUGCGUUUUUUGCGUGGUGCAUCAGACCGCAAUGGCAGAAAAAAAGUUAGACAAGACCAAAAAAACAAACAAGCCAAGAAAAAAGUGAUGCCUACAUCAAGUUUUCCAUUGCCAUUAAAUAAAGAGGCAUUUUUUAGUUCAGAAGAUGAAUAAUAUUGUUAAAUAAAAUAAGCAUCUUUAUUUACAAAUUUGUUAUCUUUAUUUUAUUGAAAACUAUUUUAUAUAUUUUUAAAUAUUUUAAUUUUUAAACUCAAUAGAAUAAAGUUUUUGUGCAACGAGUAUUACUGUUUCUGUGUUUUUCAUAUUCAUUCCCUUUUACAGUAACCUUUUGUAUAUGAGAUUGUAGAUGAGAAUUUAAAUCGUGAUAUUGAAUCUUACCAGAGAAUAAAGAAACCGUUUACCUCAACCAGAGUUAUAUUUCAUAGAAUUAUGUUGACCAUGAUCCAAAUAUUGCCAUGGAUGUGCACUUGUGUCUUGGGCUUAUGCUUUGCAAAAGGUUCACCAUCGCCCUUAAGUUGCUGUGGGUUUUACGGUUUUACUUCCAACCUGGCAUAUUAGUAUCUCAUUUUU
rnacentral:lncRNA from 1 species